rnacentral:rRNA from 1 species
CAAUUAGAGGAAAAGUCUGGUGCCAGCACCCGCGGUAAUUCCAGCUCUAAGAGUGUAUACUAAUACUGCUGUAGUUAAAUCGUUCGUAGUCCACAUGUACAAAAGCGUUGUUUCUGGCUCGUGUUUCUCCAAACUCAACCUCCCUUCGGGGUUGGAAGAGUGGCCUUCGUGCCAGGGGAUUCACUCUAACGCACAAAAGAUCUUCGGAUCUUGCGGGGUCUGUUAACUUCGUCGAGUAAAUUUCAACCCUGAAAAAAUCGGAGUAUUCAUUACAGGCAUUUUGCUUGAACACAAAAGCAUGGCACCGGUUUGUGGUCCUUCGGGACCAAGUAGGGUAAUUAGGAAGAGGGGGAGGACCCAUGUACUCAAUCCUGAGAGGUGAAAUUCGUUGAUUGAUUGAGGACAAACUAAUGCGAAGGCUGUUGUCAGGUCCACUACAUUCCUAUAGAUCAGGAACGAAAGCCAAGGGAUCGAAGAUGAUUAGAUACCGUCGUAGUCUUGGCUGUAAACUAUGCUAUCAGAGGAUUGGACGAUCCUAUUUGAUACAUAACGAUCCUUCCAGAAUUCAAGGGAAACCGAAAGUUUUUGAGUUCUGGGGGAAGUAUAGUCGCAAGGCCGAAACUUAAAGGAAUUGACGGAAAGACACCACAAGGGGUGGAGUUUGCGGCUUAAUUCGACUCAACGCGGCGAAACUCACAAGGAUAAGAUGCGGAAUGGAUUGACAGGUUGAUAGCCCUUUCUUGAUUACGCAAUUGGUGGUGCAUGGUCGUUCUUAGUUCGUGGAGUGAUUCGUCUACUUAAUUGUGAUAACGAACGAGACCUUCGCCUGCUAACUAGGAGGCAGAGGAUAAAAUCCCCUUCGUUUCAGAAAUGAAACCUGCCUGCCGAAAGGCAUAUCUUCUUAGAGGGACACCUUCACGUUUUUAGUGAGGGGAAGUUGAAGGCAAUAACAGGUCUGUAAUGCCCUUAGAUACCCUUGGCCGCACGCGAACUACAAUAUUAUAUUAAGCGAGAAUACCAAUCCUGGCCCUAUCAAAUGGCUGGGUAAACUUUUCAAGUCAUUAUAUGACUGGGAUAGAUGCUUGUAAAGGUAUCUUAAACGAGGAAUCCCUAGUAAGCGCAAGUCAUCAUCUUGCAUUGAUUACGUCCCUGUCUUUUGUACACACCGCCCGUCGCUCCUACCGACUGGAAGAAAAGGUAAGUUUAGUGGACCUACAUUCGUGGGGAAGCUACGCAAACCUAUUUUUCUGUAGGAAGGAGAAGUCGUAACAAGGUCAUCGUAGG